UCCAGACUCCUACGGGAGGCAGCAGUGGGGGAUAUUGCACAAUGGGGGAAACCCUGAUGCAGCGACGCCGCGUGGGUGAAGAAGUAUUUCGGUAUGUAAAGCCCUAUCAGCAGGGAAGAAAGAAGACGGUACCUGACUAAGAAGCCCCGGCUAACUACGUGCCAGCAGCCGCGGUAAUACGUAGGGGGCGAGCGUUAUCCGGAUUUACUGGGUGUAAAGGGAGCGUAGACGGCUGGUCAAGUCUGAAGUGAAAGCCCGGGGCUUAACCCCGGAACGGCUUUGGAAACUGAGCAGCUAGAGUGCUGGAGAGGUAAGCGGAAUUCCUAGUGUAGCGGUGAAAUGCGUAGAUAUUAGGAGGAACACCAGUGGCGAAGGCGGCUUACUGGACAGUAACUGACGUUGAGGCUCGAAAGCGUGGGGAGCAAACAGGAUUAGAUACCCGAGUA
rnacentral:rRNA from 1 species